GGCAGGCCUAACACAUGCAAGUCGAGCGGUAGCACAGAGAGCUUGCUCUCGGGUGACGAGCGGCGGACGGGUGAGUAAUGUCUGGGAAACUGCCUGAUGGAGGGGGAUAACUACUGGAAACGGUAGCUAAUACCGCAUAACGUCGCAAGACCAAAGUGGGGGACCUUCGGGCCUCAUGCCAUCAGAUGUGCCCAGAUGGGAUUAGCUAGUAGGUGGGGUAACGGCUCACCUAGGCGACGAUCCCUAGCUGGUCUGAGAGGAUGACCAGCCACACUGGAACUGAGACACGGUCCAGACUCCUACGGGAGGCAGCAGUGGGGAAUAUUGCACAAUGGGCGCAAGCCUGAUGCAGCCAUGCCGCGUGUGUGAAGAAGGCCUUCGGGUUGUAAAGCACUUUCAGCGGGGAGGAAGGCGAUAAGGUUAAUAACCUUGUCGAUUGACGUUACCCGCAGAAGAAGCACCGGCUAACUCCGUGCCAGCAGCCGCGGUAAUACGGAGGGUGCAAGCGUUAAUCGGAAUUACUGGGCGUAAAGCGCACGCAGGCGGUCUGUCAAGUCGGAUGUGAAAUCCCCGGGCUUAACCUGGGAACUGCAUUCGAAACUGGCAGGCUAGAGUCUUGUAGAGGGGGGUAGAAUUCCAGGUGUAGCGGUGAAAUGCGUAGAGAUCUGGAGGAAUACCGGUGGCGAAGGCGGCCCCCUGGACAAAGACUGACGCUCAGGUGCGAAAGCGUGGGGAGCAAACAGGAUUAGAUACCCUGGUAGUCCACGCCGUAAACGAUGUCGAUAUGAGGGUUGUGCCCUUGAGGCGUGGCUUCCGGAGCUAACGCGUAAAUCGACCGCCUGGGGAGUACGGCCGCAAGGUUAAAACUCAAAUGAAUUGACGGGGGCCCGCACAAGCGGUGGAGCAUGUGGUUUAAUUCGAUGCAACGCGAAGAACCUUACCUGGUCUUGACAUCCACAGAACUUUCCAGAGAUGGAUUGGUGCCUUCGGGAACUGUGAGACAGGUGCUGCAUGGCUGUCGUCAGCUCGUGUUGUGAAAUGUUGGGUUAAGUCCCGCAACGAGCGCAACCCUUAUCCUUUGUUGCCAGCGGUCCGGCCGGGAACUCAAAGGAGACUGCCAGUGAUAAACUGGAGGAAGGUGGGGAUGACGUCAAGUCAUCAUGGCCCUUACGACCAGGGCUACACACGUGCUACAAUGGCAUAUACAAAGAGAAGCGACCUCGCGAGAGCAAGCGGACCUCAUAAAGUAUGUCGUAGUCCGGAUUGGAGUCUGCAACUCGACUCCAUGAAGUCGGAAUCGCUAGUAAUCGUAGAUCAGAAUGCUACGGUGAAUACGUUCCCGGGCCUUGUACACACCGCCCGUCACACCAUGGGAGUGGGUUGCAAAAGAAGUAGGUAGCUUAACCUUCGGGAGGGCGCUUACCACUUUGUGAUUCAUGACUGGGGUGAAGUCGUAACAAGG
rnacentral:rRNA from 1 species